UUGAACCGUUGAAGUUGUUAUGUUUGAAUAAAUUGAAAGUAUGAAUUUUGAUUGAUAAUUUCAUGAAUUGGUUGUUGUUUUGUUGUUAAUUUGAGUAUGCUGAGUUAGGAUUAAUGAGAACUAAACAUAUGAAUCCAUUUAUGUGAGUUUUGGGGGUUAUGGGAUACUAUGAUAGUGGGUUAUAUUUUGUGAGAUGAUUUGUUUGAGUUGGUGC
rnacentral:lncRNA from 1 species